rnacentral:rRNA from 1 species
UUCCUACGGGAGGCAGCAGUGAGGAAUAUUGGUCAAUGGGCUUACGCCUGAACCAGCCAAGUCGCGUGAGGGAAGACUGCCCUAUGGGUUGUAAACCUCUUUUGUCAGGGAGCAACGCCGGCUACGUGUAGCCGGACUGAGAGUACCUGAAGAAAAAGCAUCGGCUAACUCCGUGCCAGCAGCCGCGGUAAUACGGAGGAUGCGAGCGUUAUCCGGAUUUAUUGGGUGUAAAGGGCGUGUAGGCGGGACUGCAAGUCAGAUGUGAAAAUUAUGGGCUCAACCCAUAACCUGCAUUUGAAACUGUA